AAUCUUGCGCAAUGGGCGAAAGCCUGACGCAGCGACGCCGCGUGGGUGAUGAAGGCCUUCGGGUUGUAAAGCACUGUGGAGCGGGACGAAAGCCGGUGGAUGAAUAAGCCAUCGGGGUGACGGUACCGAUUUAGCAAGCACCGGCUAACUCGGUGCCAGCAGCCGCGGUAAUACAGAGGGUGCAAACGUUGCUCGGAAUUACUGGGCGUAAAGCGCGUGUAGGUGGUUUCGCAAGUCAGGUGUGAAAGCCCGAGGCUCAACCUCGGAAGUGCACUUGAUACUACGGAGCUGGAGUCUUGGAGAGGAGAGCGGAAUUCCCGGUGUAGAGGUGAAAUUCGUAGAUAUCGGGAGGAACACCAGUGGCGAAGGCGGCUCUCUGGACAAGUACUGACACUGAGACGCGAAAGCAUGGGGAGCAAAC
rnacentral:rRNA from 1 species